rnacentral:rRNA from 1 species
UAGGGAAUCUUCCGCAAUGGACGCAAGUCUGACGGAGCAACGCCGCGUGCAGGAUGAAGGCGCUCAGCGUUGUAAACUGCUUUUAUCAGGGAAGAACAGCAGUCCUGUGGGAUUGUGUGACGGUACCUGAGGAAUAAGCACCGGCUAACUUCCGUGC